rnacentral:rRNA from 1 species
CACGUAGGGUGCGAGCGUUGUCCGGAAUUAUUGGGCGUAAAGAGCUCGUAGGCGGUGUGUCGCGUCGGCCGUGAAAACUUGGGGCUUAACUCUGAGCGUGCGGUCGAUACGGGCAUCACUUGAGUUCGGCAGGGGAGACUGGAAUUCCUGGUGUAGCGGUGAAAUGCGCAGAUAUCGGGAGGAAUACCGAUGGCGAAGGCAACUGCCUGGGCCUGAACUGACACUGUGACUCGAAAGCGUGGGUAGCAAACAGG